rnacentral:rRNA from 1 species
GAUGAACGCUGGCGGCGUGCCUAAUACAUGCAAGUCGAGCGAACGGACGCGAAGCUUGCUUCUCUGAUGUUAGCGGCGGACGGGUGAGUAACACGUGGAUAACCUACCUAUAAGACUGGGAUAACUUCGGGAAACCGGAGCUAAUACCGGAGAAUAUUUUGAACCGCAUGGUUCAAAAGUGAAAGACGGUCUUGCUGUCACUUAUAGAUGGAUCCGGGCUGCAUUAGCUAGUUGGUAAGGUAACGGCUUACCAAGGCAACGAUGCAUAGCCGACCUGAGAGGGGGAUCGGCCGCACUAGAACUUGGCCACGGUCCAUGCGCCUGCGGGAGGGAGCAGUAGGGAAUGUGACGCAGUGGGCGGAAGCCUGACGGAGCAGCGCGACGUGAGUGGUGGAGGUGUUCGGAUCGUAAUGCUGUGUUAUGAGGUGUGAACAUAUUUGUAAGGAACUGUGCACAGAUUGACGGUACCUAAUAAGAAAGCCACGGCUAACUACGUG